rnacentral:lncRNA from 1 species
GUAGAGUGACGAAUAUUGUUUUUUUUGUUUCCCCUUUGACGCAAAAGUUCAAAAUAUUUCAAGUUGUACAGUAACGGAAUAAUAAAUUGCAUGUCGUUGUUAUCAAUAACUUUAUAUCUACGCAAAGUGUAGGAACAAAGAACCAGAAGUAGUGAACAUAGAGUCCAAUAGAAUAAUGGUUGAAAACGGAUAAUAACGAAUAUUGAAAUAGAAACAAUGACAAAAAAAAAAAAAAAAAAACAAUGACUAAAGGAGUAGAGUGGUAGUAGUAGCAGGCUAGCAGCAUGGAGGUCCAGUCGAAAUUAUUGACAUAUAACUAUCAGUUUCUCAUAUGCGUAAUGCGCUUCAUUAGUUUAGAUUCCAAGAUUUUUCUGAAGAAUAAACUAAACAAAAAGAGGAAGAGAGGAUUACGAAUAAGGAUAAUUCUGAGCCCAUUGGUCAUGAGUGGAACUAAUCGGCCUCUUCUAAUAGUUAUUAGUUAACAUGAUUUAUAUAUAAUUAAUCGGCUAAUUUAUAAUUAGUAUAGCAGAAAUAUUUAAAAUAUUAUUAAUGAUAUAGAGGAUUUAUCAUAUACAAUAAGUAAAAGGCCAAUAUACUCAUCGUUUAGACCCUCUAUGUCGGAUCAGAAAAUCGGCCAAUAAAGGCGCUGCUUUCUGCCAUGUCACAGACGGAAUUGGGCAAUGUAGGCUUCUGUUUUUUUAUCCGUUAUGUUUUAUUUUGUUGGCCCAUCAGGCCCGUUUCCUGAAAAUCCUAAGCUAAAUGAAUGUCUCUUCCCCUUUCGUGUUUUUUGUCGUCUCUAACUAAUCGAACAUCCAUGGGCAUGAAACACGAAUCUCCUAAUUGUCACGUUUAUAUCGAUCUGUGUGCUUUAAUAUCGAUUCAUCUCUUCGUGUGUUUCGAUAUCAAUUCAUCUCCUCACAGGUGUUACAACCUGCAUUGAUUCAACGCCGUUAGCGAUCACUCAUUCAAUGAUUCUUACCCUUUUCCAGACAGACCGUGUAUCUCUAUAAAAAGGUAAACCCUCAUCCCAUAAAAUCAUCCUCACAAUUAUAAAAGCAAUAGAAUUUUUUCUCUCUCAUUAUAAUGAUGUUCUAUUUUCUGAUCUGAAGGCCGGUGGCCCCAUGGAGGUGCGACUGCUCAAGUCUCGUAUCCUCCGUCCUCACGGAUCAAACCUUCCUUAUGCUUCACUCCCUUUUGUUCAAGGAAGCCUUAAUGUGUUUGGCUGGAGACUUCUGAGGAAAGGCCAUCGGAAGGAAGAGGACUCGAUUAGCCAUGUCUCGAUUGUUUAUCGUACCGGUCCGGAUCCGUUUUUUGGGUUGCUUUGUCUCCAUCCUCUCAAGGGCUUAUCAGUCUGAUGUCUGCUCAAGAAACUCUUCAUCUUCCUUAACCGGUUCUAAGAAAGCUAAUGAAAUUGAGUCUGAAAUCAUGUGGAACCAUUAGAGAAACAGAGUUCUUCUGUUUGUGUCUAUACAAUCUUGAAGAGAUUGAGCUUAGGACAUGUAGAAGUAUUUUUUUGAUAAAGAAAGAAGUAUUGGUGAUGUGGUUCUGCUGAAAGUUUCAGAGAUUUUCGAAUCUCUCAAGUCUCUCUUGAUAUAUGACGG